rnacentral:tRNA from 1 species
ACUUAGAUAGUUUAUUUAGAAUAAUAAUUUGUGGAGUUAUUGGUGUAUAUUUACUCUAGGUU